rnacentral:lncRNA from 1 species
GGGCAUAGGGAGAGAAGGACAACUUUGCCUUAGAGCCCAAAGACUGCAUCCAGUUGAAUCUUGGGAGUUCCCCAACAGCAAACACUGCAACCCAAAGGGACUGAUUGGUAAUUAUACCUGGACAAGUGACAAAUAGCAUACUUGAUAUUCUUGCGGGACCUGUAAUGAAAUAGUAAAAUACUUCAUUAUUGCUUCAUUGGACUGAAAAACCUAAGAGGCAACAGCAGUGCUCGAUGGUGAAAACUAAACAUGAGGGCAGCGGUGUGCCCCUAAAUGUCCUCUGUGCACUGUGAACUAAGCGUUCUCCACACUAUCAA